UACAGGGGGUGCUAGCGUUGUUCGGAAUUACUGGGCGUAAAGGGCGCGUAGGCGGUUUCGCAAGUCAGGGGUGAAAUCCCGGAGCUUAACUCCGGAAUUGCUUUUGAUACUGUGAGGCUAGAGUGAGUUAGAGGAUGGCGGAAUUCCUAGUGUAGUGGUGAAAUACGUAGAUAUUAGGAAGAACACCGGUGGCGAAGGCGGCCAUCUGGGACUCACCUGACGCUGAGGCGCGAAAGCGUGGGGAUCAAACAGG
rnacentral:rRNA from 1 species